rnacentral:rRNA from 1 species
GAGUUUGAUCAUGGCUCAGAAUGAACGCUGGCGGCGUGCUUAACACAUGCAAGUCGAACGGUAACAGGACUAGCUUGCUAGUUGCUGACGAGUGGCGCACGGGUGAGUAAUAUAUAGUUAACGUGCCCCUAAGCCUGGGAUAGCCACUGGAAACGGUGAUUAAUACUGGAUACUCCUUCUGAUUAAAAGGUCAGAAGGGAAAGGUUUUUCGCUAAGGGAUCGGACUAUAUUGUAUCAGCUAGUUGGUGAGGUAAGAGCUCACCAAGGCAAUGACACAUAGCGGGUUUGAGAGGAUGAUCCGCCACACUGGUACUGAGACACGGACCAGACUCCUACGGGAGGCAGCAGUGAGGAAUAUUGCACAAUGGGCGAAAGCCUGAUGCAGCAACGCCGCGUGGAGGAUGACGCAUUUCGGUGUGUAAACUCCUUUUAUAAGGGAAGAAAAUGACGGUACCUUAUGAAUAAGUUCCGGCUAACUCCGUGCCAGCAGCCGCGGUAAUACGGAGGGAACAAGCGUUAUUCGGAAUCACUGGGCGUAAAGGACGCGUAGGCGGGUUAUUAAGUCGGGUGUGAAAUCCAAUGGCUCAACCAUUGAACUGCAUUCGAAACUGAUAACCUAGAGUAUGGAAGGGGCAGGUGGAAUUAGUGGUGUAGGGGUAAAAUCCGUAGAUAUCACUAGGAAUACCGAAAGCGAAGGCGACCUGCUGGGACAUUACUGACGCUGAGGCGUGAAAGCGUGGGGAGCAAACAGGAUUAGAUACCCUGGUAGUCCACGCCCUAAACGAUGAAUGCUAGUCGUCGGGGCUCUAGUAGCUUCGGUGAUGCACUUAACAGAUUAAGCAUUCCGCCUGGGGAGUACGGUCGCAAG